AUUGAACGCUGGCGGCAUGCCUUACACAUGCAAGUCGAACGGUAACGGGCCUUCGGGUGCCGACGAGUGGCGAACGGGUGAGUAAUACAUCGGAACGUGCCCGAUCGUGGGGGAUAACGAGGCGAAAGCUUUGCUAAUACCGCAUACGAUCUACGGAUGGAAGCAGGGGACCGCAAGGCCUUGCGCGGACGGAGCGGCCGAUGGCAGAUUAGGUAGUUGGUGGGAUAAAAGCUUACCAAGCCGACGAUCUGUAGCUGGUCUGAGAGGAUGAUCAGCCACACUGGGACUGAGACACGGCCCAGACUCCUACGGGAGGCAGCAGUGGGGAAUUUUGGACAAUGGGCGCAAGCCUGAUCCAGCCAUGCCGCGUGCAGGAUGAAGGCCUUCGGGUUGUAAACUGCUUUUGUACGGGACGAAAAGCCUUCUUUUAAUACAGGAGGGUCAUGACGGUACCGUAAGAAUAAGCACCGGCUAACUACGUG
rnacentral:rRNA from 1 species